GACGAACGCUGGCGGCGUGCUUAACACAUGCAAGUCGAACGGUGACGAGGAGCUUGCUCCUCUGAUCAGUGGCGAACGGGUGAGUAACACGUGAGCAACCUGCCCCAGACUCUGGGAUAACAGUUGGAAACAGCUGCUAAUACCGGAUACGAGACGGAGAGGCAUCUCUACCGUCUGGAAAGUUUUUCGGUCUGGGAUGGACUCGCGGCCUAUCAGCUAGUUGGUGAGGUAAUGGCUCACCAAGGCGACGACGGGUAGCCGGCCUGAGAGGGCGACCGGCCACACUGGGACUGAGACACGGCCCAGACUCCUACGGGAGGCAGCAGUGGGGAAUAUUGCACAAUGGGCGAAAGCCUGAUGCAGCGACGCCGCGUGAGGGAUGAAGGCCUCGGGUUGUAAACCGUCUUUCAGCAGGGAAGAAGCGAAAGUGACGGUACCUGCAGAAGAAGCACCGGCUAACUAACGUGCCAGCAGCCGCGGUAA
rnacentral:rRNA from 1 species